UGCUCAAUGCUCUGGGCCUGGCACAGUCCUGUCCGCAAGGUACACCCUCCAGACUAGCACCUUUGCCCACCCAGAUGUUCCUGCUGCCGCUGGAGGCUUACCGCUCUAGGGCUUUUUUCCUGAGUCAUGUUUAGUCAAUGGAAUAAUUCAUUGGACCUCUUGGGAGUCAGGUACCACAACUAAUGUGACCAGAACUACAUCAGUGCUCAAGAAGGACUCAGCCAUCUAAUCAUUGUAUCCUGUCUCUGUAAAUAAUCUACCCUAGAGAACUUUCAAGCAAAGGGUUGCCACCAUCUUAUUGUAUCAGCAAAUCCCCUACAAGCAUUAAUCGGCCUGGCAUCUUAGCUGGUUUAAUGUUUCUCCAGAGGUUUUUUUUUUCUUCCUCCACUGGUAUUUUCUUCUACAAGAUGAAUCAAGCAAAGAAAACAUCUCUACUUGGAACAAAUAUUUCAGGUAUCACCAAUUGAGAGAAUAAAACUGUGUAUUUUAAGUACUGUACUUAAAUAUUCCACCAUCUGGAA